rnacentral:rRNA from 1 species
UACGUAGGGCGCAAGCGUUAUCCGGAAUCACUGGGCGUAAAGCGCACGUAGGCGGAUUGUUAAGUCAGGGGUGAAAUCCCGGAGCUCAACUCCGGAACUGCCUUUUAGACUGUUCUCGCUUGAAUCCAGGAGAGGUGAGUGGAAUUCGAGUGUAGAGGUGAAAUUCUUAGAUAUUCGGAAGAACACCAGUGCGAAGGCGGACUCACUGGACUGGUAUUGACGCUGAGGUGCGAAAGCGAUGGGGAGCAAACAGGG